rnacentral:rRNA from 1 species
AUGGAGUAUCCGUAGCUGAAUACAUAGGCUACGUGAAGCGAACGCGGUGAACUGAAACAUCUAAGUAACCGCAGGAAAAGAAAUCAACCGAGAUUCCCAAAGUAGUGGCGAGCGAAAUGGGACCAGCCUGUACUCUUUAUCUUUGCUGUUAGCCAAACGCUCUGGAAAGUGCGGCCAUAGUGGGUGAUAGCCCCGUAGGCGAAAACAGCGAGGAAGAACUAGGUGUACGACAAGUAGGGCGGGACACGUGAAAUCCUGUCUGAAGAUGGGGGGACCAUCCUCCAAGGCUAAAUACUCGUGAUCGACCGAUAGUGAACCAGUACCGUGAGGGAAAGGCGAAAAGAACCCCGGGAGGGGAGUGAAAUAGAUCCUGAAACCGCAUGCAUACAAACAGUCGGAGCCUCGCAAGGGGUGACGGCGUACCUUUUGUAUAAUGGGUCAGCGACUUACAUUCAGUGGCGAGCUUAACCGAUUAGGGCAGGCGUAGCGAAAGCGAGUCCGAACAGGGCGAUUCAGUCGCUGGGUGUAGACCCGAAACCAGGUGAUCUAUCCAUGGCCAGGAUGAAGGUGCGGUAACACGUACUGGAGGUCCGAACCCACUAACGUUGAAAAGUUAGGGGAUGAGCUGUGGAUAGGGGUGAAAGGCUAAACAAACCUGGAAAUAGCUGGUUCUCUCCGAAAACUAUUUAGGUAGUGCCUCGUGUAUCACCUUCGGGGGUAGAGCACUGUCAUGGUUGAAGGGUCCAUUGCGGAUUACUUCGCCAUAGCAAACUCCGAAUACCGAAGAGUGCAAUCACGGGAGACAGACAUCGGGUGCUAACGUCCGGUGUCAAGAGGGAAACAACCCAGACCGCCAGCUAAGGUCCCCAAAUAUGACUAAGUGGGAAACGAAGUGGGAAGGCUAAAACAGUCAGGAGGUUGGCUUAGAAGCAGCCAUCCUUUAAAGAAAGCGUAAUAGCUCACUGAUCGAGUCGUCCUGCGCGGAAGAUGUAACGGGGCUAAGUCAUAUACCGAAGCUGCGGAUGCA